UACGUAGGGUGCGAGCGUUAAUCGGAAUUACUGGGCGUAAAGAGCUCGUAGGCGGUCUGUCGCGUCUGCUGUGAAAACUCAGGGCUUAACCCUGAGCUUGCAGUGGGUACGGGCAGACUAGAGUGCGGUAGGGGAGACUGGAAUUCCUGGUGUAGCGGUGAAAUGCGCAGAUAUCAGGAGGAACACCGGUGGCGAAGGCGGGUCUCUGGGCCGUAACUGACGCUGGAGGAGCGAAAGCAUGGGGAGCGAACAGG
rnacentral:rRNA from 1 species